UCAUCCUCUACAACUGCCUGAAAGGAGCCUGUGGCUAGGUGGGGGUCAGUCUUUUCUUCCAGACUGGACAAGUAACAAGUGAAAGUGACAGAACAAGACUAGAAAGCCUCAAGCUGUGCUAAUUGUACAUCAGGAAUCAUGGAAAAGAUUGUCAAACAUUGGAAUGAGCUUCCCAGGGAGGUGACUAUCCCUGGAGGUAUUCAGCAAAUGACUGGAUGUGGCACUUGGUACUAUGGCCUAAUUGACAAGGUUGGACCCUGUGAUUCCUUUUCCUACCUAAAUGAUUUUGUGCUUCUGUGAUGUUCAGGUAUCCCUUCAGGCCAUAGAGGACACAGUAGUACCCAGUACUUUCACAUUCUCUUUUGAGGAAAAAGGGCAAGGAGGAGUACAGAGACAAGACUUCUGAGCAGUCUGAGGCAGUGGUUCCACAAACUCUCUUGCUUUUAAUCUGAUUGCACAGUCUUAUGCUCUCAAAUUUAUAGGCAUCUUGCGAAUCCAGUGCAAACUUUCUCUGACCAAAUAUUUUGUCUUCCCUACAGUUUUUCUCAAAAGCUUCCCACUUUCUUUCUUGAGUCUCGUUCCGCCUUUCUUGUUUUUAAAAUUCAACACUUUAGGCUUUCCAUACAGUGUUGGAGAACCUGCCCCUUCAGGUGUUCCUUCAGGCCACCUUCAUAAAGUUCCAUUCUCCUGGCAAAUCCUCCUGCCUUCUCAUCCUUUAUAAUCCCUGUUUUUCUCAUGACCUGAAUUAUUAUCCCUGUAAUUUGUCUUGUCUUUGUUUGACUUGUCUACCUUCUGUGGGAAGCAGUGUAGAGUGGAGAAUGGGGCUUGCUCUGUCUCGAAGUUUGCAACUAUCUGAGUCCUCUUCAAACAGCAAUAAAUCUUAUAUCUGCCUCAUUAUGCCUCUGUUUCACAGUCUGUUCAGUCUGGAUCUGAUGGAAAAGCCCUCUGGCACAUUGGGAUUACAGAACAGCUCUCCCAGAAGUUCUGAGGGAUCCACACUGGAUUUUUCCUACAAUAAACCUUGAAAAUGGACAGCUGCUGAUAGCAGUGCUGAGAGUCCAAGAUUGGCAAGAGGUUUCUCCACAAGCAGAGUGAUGUUGUUGGUGUAUAAUGAAGGUCUUCUGUAAAACCAAAACUGAUAAAACAAGGGAUAAGUUUAGGUAUAUAGUUCUAUAUUGCUGAAUAAAAGGAGCUGGUAAUUGAUUCCUGGUCCCGAGGACAGGUAAAGCAAAUUUUAUCACCCUAUACCACCAUCUACUUCUGGAUGGGGUCCCUAAGGAACAAUUGUUAUUUUUGGUGUGUUGUAGGGUUUUUUGAAACAUGCUUAAAAAUAAAGACUGCAGACUUUUCUGCAAUUUAUAUAAACAGUGGGUUUACAGCAUAAAACUUAGUAUAUGCAUUCCAUGACCUUGAGUAGAGCGCGUAGACAGCGAUGGUUCAAUGCCUUUGGGAAAGAGUUGAAGGAAUGAGGAACUAAGUCUAAUGAGAAGAACUUAUUCAUGGUGCUUACUGGGAACAGCCCCGGACCAAGCUAUUUCCCAAGUCAAGGCUGGGUCUUGUAUUGUAUAAAGCUAGCGGUGGUCUUGUAAAGCAAAGCUGAGGGGUGAGCAAAGAAAUGAGCGCUGCAGACCAGUUGCUAUCCAGAGGCUAAGCUCCUCCAUGGACCUCUUUUAGCAGUAUGGAUGAUCAUGUCUCUCUCAUGGAUCUUUUAUGAGACCUCAGACAUCUUAUAAAAGCUUGCAGGUGGGGCAGUAAUAAGCCUCAUUUUCCCUCUCUACCCAAAGACUUAAUUUCAGAGAACCUGCAGGACUUCCUGGAUACAUUCACUGUUUUGUCAAGAUUGUUUCAAAGGUAGCUGAGAUAGGACUGGAAGGCAGCUACAGAGAAGUGUGCUUUUAGCGCCAGUAUGAACACAUAAGCCUCGCUUUGCUGAAAAAUGGGGCUGAAAUCAGAUCACAUCAACUCCAUAGUGUGUUAUGGGAGCAUUAUAAUUUCUGAGCGCCUCUGGCCCAGAAGAAAAUUAUGUCACUGUGUUCUAUAGCUCAGGGAGAAUACAAAGCUCUACACUUGAAGAUUUUCUUCAUUCUUGUCUGUCAGCUGAGACUGCGCACUAACUUUUAGUAUUCUACUAGCCCAGAACUGGGGCUAUAGUAAUUCCAUAUUUCAAAAGGGAAAAUAGUCCCUUUCAUUGCCUGUCUUAUCAGGUAUGCCAAAAGUUGUCCUAUUCCCAAGCACUCAGCCAAAUUCUAGGUAGCUCCACCAGUAAUUUGCAGAAAUUUGGUGCUCUUUAGUAGUUAUUUAUAAUUUUGCUUUCCUCAGUGAGAAGCUUCAGUCAAAAGCAUAGCACCAAUAAAGCCUGAAGGGGCCAAUGUAGCCUCAGAAUAUCUGUCCUUAUUAUCCAGCACCACCUGCAAUGACAGUGACAAAUACAUGAUUCCUUCCCAAGUAUGGCAAGGAGCUCAAAGUCCUCCACACCAAGCAGAUCAGAUUUCUUAAGCAAACAGAUCAUUUUCAAUCUGGCUUUAUAGUCAAGAUUCCAGCUAUUGUCAGAACUCAAGGAAAUUGUGGAGUUGGAGUACAGAAACCAGUGGCAUCAGGCCUCAUGUCACAUCUUACGAGGGAAGUUCUACUUCAGGCUCUGCAACUGCUUGUCAGAGAACCACUGUUCUUCUAGAACAAAGGGGAGUAGCCUGGUGAUGAGGAGCUGACAUCUGUGGCCCUGUGCAGUCUGCAAAGCUCAUAAGGCUGCACACUCUUUCAGCUAGAUAAGGCUCUUUGGUAUUUAUGGGAUUAUUAGUUAUUGAGAAUUAUGUCUGUUCUCAGAGUAGAACAUGCCAUUUAACUACAUUACUCAUUAUAUGAGUCACUAUGUUGAAUAACAUAUGCUUCCUAUAUUUGGUGGGAUGAGCCAAUACAUCACACUUCCAUCCAGAAUGGCAUUCUAAUUAAACACCACCAGCCUUCCUUUUCAACUGUAAAAGUCCCAAAACAUAAACUUCAUUGUCAUACAAAUUUAUUUUGUUUGGAUUUUUUUUUUUUUUGCAUAAUCAGUUGCAGGACCUGCAAUAUUAAGCCAAAUAUGCUGGUUAAUAGCACCUAGAUUAUACCAAGUUUGUAUGUGUCCUAAUGAAAGAUGUGCUAAUUGACAGCAGUCAGCUAGAUUAAAACAAACAGAAAGAGCAUUUAACUUUAAGGAUUUAUGCCUUUCCACUGGAACCAGUGAGACUAUUCAGGUGCUUACAGCUGAGGACAUGCAUAUUUGUUGACAUGGUUGCUACACCAUUGUUCUUGCAAGGAAGGAGUAGUGAUCCAUCAUCAUCAAGUGUAACGGGUACUAGGGGCUACUUUCAUUAGAGGGAACAGCAAAAUUCCCAUUGAUUUCAAUGGAAGCGGGGCAGGCUCUGACACAAAAGUAGUAAGCUUGUGUAAACAAAAGUUACAGAAAACGUUCCUCAUGACAAGUAUUUAUGAUGGCUCUGGAGCCUGAGAGUCUUUUGGGUGUGGAGCCUCUGAAAUAAAGCAGUUAUUAUUUCACUUUUCUUCAGUGCAAUUAAGACUAAGGCACAUCAACAGCACACUAAUUUUGAGUUUGUGGUGCUGACUUCUAAAAGUGAUAUUACCACAAGUCAGAGGUUUCUGAGAAAGCACAAGUUACAUUAAAACACAUUUCCACCUCUAUACAUUUAUUUAUUGACUUUCUCCUACAGCAAAAUUAGUUUUAGUUUUGCUGCUCUGGUGUUUCUAGAGCAGUGGUUAUCGCUCCCCUAGGGUGGGGAACCUCAAGUUUAUUCCAGUACAGAACCCCAUUACAAAUAUCAUGUAGAUGCUCACGCAGUUAGGUGAAUUUGCCUUUCCUAUCCCAUUUCUUACACCUUAAUGUAGCUAGCAGACACCUUACUACAGACAGGCUUCCAGUUGAAAAUAACUGUUAUAGUCAGUUCUGGGGGUUUAUGCCACGAAGAAAUACCAUUUCACAAUGUUUAGAUAAAGGUUUAGGUAAAAACUAACUCCACUACUUUCAUUGAAAAGUAAGUAGCUGAUUCCUCUAUGACUCAAGUCAAGUGGCAAAAAGCAGGAUAAAUAAACCAAAAAGCAUUUCAGACUACAAAUUCCAGAGAGGCUUCAGCUCAGGAUCCAAAACUGAGAGUAUCAGGGUUGCAGAGAUUAAUUCAUAAAGCUAAUUCAUAAAUACAGAAGUAUUUUCCAUUUAUAAAUUUCUGCAUCAUAUUUCCCAAUUAGAUCCUCAAAUUCAAAAUCUGUGUAAGACUUCCUUUUCAUAUUUGGAAAGUACAAAUUAUUGUCUUGGAGCCCAGCUAUGUAUUUGAUAAAGAUCUAGAAGGGAAACCUGAUGAAGGUACAAUAAAAAAUAGAUAAAAAUUAUCUAGCAAUCUGCUACAGUUAUACUUCUAUUCCAAGUGUCUUCUCAUUCUCUUUUAACUGAAAGUAUGAAUGCUAGCAGUAGUAAUGCAUUUACUCAUUAAAUUUUAUGAUCUAUAAUGGAAUUGAGGGUAUUGCCACUAGCCAGGAGAGUGCUUUUAAUGUUUUUUGAAUCCUUUUGAGCUUUUGACUUUGGGAUAUUACGUGCAGACACUUCUGUUAUGUAAACAAAUACAUUGUUUUGUUCUUCACUUGAACUAAAUUUUUUUAUUUUUUCCAGCAUCACUUUUUUUUACUAUGGUACUUGGUAUGCUUUUUCCUUAUUGUGAUGGAAGGACCAGAAUAGCAGCAAUUUGGAAGAUUUUUUUAAAGUCUAAUUGCUAGUAUGUUUUAUAAAAUAUGUCGAGAUGCUGACGACUGCAUUCUGAAUAGAUGCACUAUUUCACUCAAGUGGUACAAGUGUGACUGAAAAAACAUCUCACUAAAAUCUUUAUUUAGUGCUUUUCAGGGAUCAGACUAGUUCAUCACUAUGAUCUGGUUUUUAAAUCCUUACAUCUAUUAAUUCUAAUUAAAAUUACCUCUUUUUUUACCAGCCAAUCAAUUUAUUACUAUACCUCUUCAGUAUAGUUGAGAGACUGACUACUAGUUGUUCUUGACCAUUGGUUUUCAAUAACAUCCUAAUUCAUUACACCUCCUCUUAUAGCAGCGCCUGUAAGGUUUUACAGUAGCUCUUAAUCUUUAAACCUGAGAUGGAAGUGUAGGAGAAAUAAGAAUUCUACCCGCCAAGGAUUAAAUAUUUUAAUUCUCCAAGAGUUGAUAUGAACACUUUUAAAUCUAAUUUUCUUACUGUUCUGAGGUGUAAUUUCUCAAUUCUAGUUUUGAAUUGAUGCCUCCUAUGAGUUGUGAAAUUUAUUUAUAUUUUGGUCAAUACUGUGUUAGAGAUAUAGCUACUCCUUAAACAAACUGCUGUAUGGUACCUAGAAUUGCAAAGCAUAUCACACAGUGAAAGAAGGCCGUGCACUCAGAGCGCAAUGGAAAAGAUGUCAGCUGUUUUAAUAGCAGUUUAUUUAUAGAUAUUCUCUAAUCUGGAACUUCACCAUUUAAAAACAAUAUGGGAGCAAAAUAAGACAUCUGUACAAUUCUUUGAGAUUACUGGUUUUUCAUAAGAGGACUAUAAAGUCUCAUCUGUCUGAUAUUAAAGGCUUAGAUUUUUUUCCUGAAAAUAAAGGAUAUCUUCUUGCAGAGAAAUAAAAUUAGGAAUACAGACAACAAACUUUGCUGCACUUUUUUGGCCCAUGGUCCUUCCACGUGAGAAAGGCUGAAUUAUGUUUUGUGCCUGUGUCUGCCUGUGAGGUUACACUGCAAUGUAUGUACUUGAAAUUCAUGAACAGACUUGACCAGAAGAGAAGCUGUUAAAUCUAAAAACUUUUUGUGUGAAUCCUGCCUCAAACAUCAUAAUCUGUUUGUUCAUCUGAUAAUGGGAGAGGCUGCAACAUUAAGGGAAAAGAGAGUUUUUACAUACAAGCCUUGACUUGAACCCUGACAGCUUUUUACAAACUUAGUGUAAUAUAAAGCUUAUUCCUAGUUUUUGUGAAUAUGAGAUGUUCUGGAGUUUGCAGAAUAUAAAACAUGCCAAGUAUGCCUUUUUCCUCCUUUCUUUCAAUCUCUUUUCCUCACAGCACGCGUGGACUUUUCAUGAAUACUGUGACAAUUUCCUUCAACAAGUUGCUGGAAAGGGCUGUCCUUGAGUCCCUGAGUUCUGGAUUAGGAGCUAAAUCAACUCACCUCCAUGAGCAAAAUGGAAGAUAAAAAACUUCUUCCCUUCUCCCACUUUAUUUUAAAUCGGGGACUGCUUCCAAAACAGAUAUAUCAACAGUGAAAUUAUGGUGUAUUUUUUAUUUUUUAGUAAAGUAUUAUAGCCCAAUUGAGUGUCAUGAUACUACAGAAUAUUAUAAUACCUCAUUACUUAAUCUUCUGUGACUCUGCACAUGGCUGAGGUAUCACUGAGAUAAAUGGUCAUAAUAAUAUGACCAUUUUUGUGCAGUGUCACAUUCUUUAUUUUAAAGUAAACUGAUUCCAUUAUAGCGUAAGUUGUAAGGCUGUCUUGCUCUUUUAUUAACAGAAAAGCUUCAUUUUAUAAAAGAAAAGGAUGAAAGAACACACAGAGUAAAUAAAUCUUUCUUUGUGUGCCUCUGUUAAGUGUCUGUUUCCCAGGUGGUACAUGGCAAUACUGAAGGUUUAUUAUGACUGGGUUUUGCAACAGCAAUCAUACCCCAGGUAAGAUUUUUUUACCCCAGGUGAAAAUGCUCAGACAUGACUCAACAAAAAAAGAGAUCUUUGCAUUCCUACUGUUAAUUCUGUAUGUUGCAUAUUAAUAGGAGUUGUGGACAAAUACUUCUGUGCUCACAAUCUUUCACUGUGAAGCAGAGGUUCUAAACCAUUCAAGUUCCUCCUGGUUUUCCUGUUUGUUUUCAUAGCCUGUCAGAGUUUAGAUGUGCAAAGCAAUUUUCUUGUUACCCAAUCUUCUUGCCUAACAAUUAAAAGAACUUCAGCUAUGCUAUUAUAAUCAUGCUGAGAUAAACAUUAUGACCAUUUUACAAAUUAGGUAAAAAAUUGAACAGAUUAUAAAAAUGAAGAAUUUUUAAAGAAAACAGGUAACACCGCUUUGGUGUCUGUGACCACUUUUCAUUAUGUGCAGAUAUGUCUGAACUCAUCAGAGCCUCUGCCACUUUGUGUUUGUCUCCAAGGCAAAAUGAUCCUCUCUAGACUGUUUGAUUAAGCAAUCCAAUGACCAGAGUUCAUAACUGCAGCAUUUCUGUGAUACUUUCUGUGGCAUUUUGAGCCAUUUUUUGUUUCCAGUUGACUGCUGUCUGUUAGAAUCUUACAUCUGUCUUGCAACUCUGAAUGCAGAAUAAUUUCAAGGCUUAGGUUCAGUUUACAUGGUACCAAAAUCUCAGAGAAGUCCUUGUGAGGGUUCAACCCAAGAAGUGAGAAGACUGGUUUGUUCUGCUCUUCUGAGAUUGCUGCUUUCUUGAUCACACCAAACUUAAUUCAGAAAGGAAGAUCCACUCUAGCCUUAACCCAACACAUCCCUGGGAAGGAAGGGGAUGGAGGCCCUCAAGGAUGAAAGGAAGGGUGGGAGGCCUGACAGGUGCUUCUGGUUCAGACCUGUAUCAAAUAUUUAUUCAUCGUGACUACAAAGGCCCAGAAACUGCUGUAUAAUUUCCCUUGCCCACUCUUUGAUUUCUGUACUUGCAUUUUGCCACCUUUAGCUUGACUUUGAUUAAUGAGAAUCCAGGGCUCUGGCUGGGUUUUCUGAGAUUUUAAGUGCAACUUUGAGCAACGUGGAGUACUUUCAUUUGCUGUUUGUUACUAACUUCUUUUUUAGCCAUGGUGAACUGAAAAAUGUUGUUCUUUGAGUACUAAAAAGCACAACAGUGUUCAGGUAAAUUGGCCUCAGAAUCUGUUUCAUCAUAAUGAAAGCAUUUACAUCACUGCAGAGGUUAAUUUCCCUGCUUCUGCAGUGCUAUCCACAUGUGUUGGCCUUCCCAGGUUAUUUUAAUAAAUGACUGUCAAAGUAGCUACAGGCAUUCUGGUGCUGGAACAGAGCAUGGUUUUGCAAGGCAAACAUCUGUGGGGUUUUCCAGAUGCAGGAAGAGCGUGGAAGUGGGUGUUAUCUCUCAAUGGAAAGGGAGGAAUGUGGCUAGCAGCAGCAAAUACACCAAAACAAGUGAGUAAAUAUAUCUUUAUUUUGCCAUUGAGAACAAAAUAAAAUAAGGAAGACAAGGAAAAAAAAAAAAAAAAAGAAAAAAAGGAGAGUAUAAAAAAAAUUAUAUCUGCAUGAAAGGGAAAAUUUUUCAUGUUUUUAUUUUUGCAUGGCUGUUUUCCACAACCUGGGACUGUUCAAAGCACAAGAAGGGAAUUUCCCCAGGAACUUCUCACAUUGACACAGCUGGAACUGUUAGGGACAAACAAGGUUUCAUAGAUGCCACAGAGAUGUUGUGAGAAUCAGUCCUGAUUAGCAAAAGGAAUUAAAUUUUCCAUCUAGGACUAAAUAAAAGAACUUCUGCCUUCCUUCUGGCUUUCUUGGCUGAGGUCACACUUUUACCACUUCAUCUUGGGUCACUUGGAGCAUCAGCUGCUAAUUUCAUCUGGCAGGGAGGAGCCUCCCUCCUAAUGAACAUGUGGGUUUCAAACAGAGUCUGUCUUAAAAUCUUUGACAAAUUAUGAAGUUUAAUAUAUAUUUUCUCUCAGAAUUCACUUGAUGCAAAACUGCCUGAGGGAUGUCUUUAUAUAUUCACAACACACAUGAAAGAGAGCCAAACCAGGGCAGAAAUGUACAGCAGAGGUAAAACAUGUGUGAGGAACCUCUUGCUGCUGGGCUGAAGAUCAGACAAGCUUAUAAAAAGGGCAGGGAAUGCUCAUUAUGGACUGAGUCAGCCCAGCAGCUGUGAGGCUCCUCCCUCCCCACUUCAAUGAUUUUAUUGUUCACCCAAGCCACUGUCAGACACUCAGGAGAAAUCCUCUUGGCCCUGUAUCUGCCCCUCUGUUGGAUGCAAUCAGGCCUAGACAACUUGGUGCUUCAGUUGUCUUGGUGAGGUCUUGCUUGAUGUGACCUAUUCUGAUGGGAUGCAAAGGCAGGGGACACCAGGGCUGCUGUGCAGACCUGACCCGUGCACCAUCCUGGAAAUCACAGCUGAGCUUAAGUGAAAUAAACAACAAAUUUUCCCAGAGUACUAGAUGAAUGCUGACUAGAACUGCAAGUUUCAGAUGCUUAAAUUAGAUCUCCCUGUGGCUGCAGGUGCAGAUUUUCCCCAUACAACUAAUAAUGGCUCAGACUGUUGGUGUAUUUUUUCAGAUUUUUUUUUUUUUUUUCAGAUUUUACCACUCGGGUUCACUUUGGGCUUGGCAUUCUCUUUAACUCUGCUACUCACUGCGCUAUCAACUGCCAAAUGCAUUUCCAACAGCAUAAAAUCUGAUAAUUUAGAAUUGCACUGUUUCCUGACCUUGUUCCUUCUUUUAAAAGUUAUUUUGGGGAGGAAAAAUGCAUCUGAACUGUCAGGGAAAGGACAACAGUUUCCUUUCUCUUUUCUUUCUCGCCAUUGAGAAAAGAUUUGUUGGUCAGUAAGGAGCAUUAUGUCCAAGUCUCCAAGGACAGCCCUAGUCCUCUCUAAAACAGCUUGUUUUAUCUGUGUGCCCUAGACAAAACCAAAUGGCAUCGAAAGAAUUCACGGUGUUCAAUGAUAAAAACAAACAAAUAUAUAAAUACACACAUAUCUACAUAAGGAAUUCUAGACAUUAAAAAGCCUUAAGACCCAAAACAUGUUCAAAGCAGAGUCCUGCUAUGAUCUGCACCCACUGGUGUGAAAUAAAUGAACUUUGGCUGUCAACAUCAUAGGGAGUUCACCUGUCUGACAUCAGAGACAGCCAAGGAGGAUGCAGCCACAGAGAGGUUACCUGUUUUGUUUGAGAAAAUCCAAGCCUUGAGUGCAUACAAUCAUCUUUUCACAGUAUGUUAAACAGUUUCUGGUUAUUGGAGGGCUGGCUGAUCGCAGGUGUGAAAGAUCACUUUGUAAUAUUUUGUCUGUCUGUCUCCACAGCAGUUGUCCCUUCUGCCAUAGUAUCUGACUGCCUUUAAUCUAUCAAUUUACACACAGGUGAUGCACACCACUUUAUUUUGGUUUCAUCUUUAAAGCAUUUUUGUAAUAUUUCAGUUCUCACAAGGUUCUGGAUGCUGAUAUCCUCACAGUGUGAAGAGAUAAACUCCUUGUUAAAGUUAAAAAAGACCUAAAAUUCUUGCUCUGAGAGGUAGAGGGCCAUCUGAACCUGGGGCAGUACUUAAAAACUCCUAACUUGUCAUUUUGAAUCUCAAAAAGCAGAUAUUGUUGCUAACAGUGCAAAGAAUCAUAUGUACUGGUCUGGGUUAAUGUGUCCUUCCCCUUACAACUUCACAGUGUAGACACUUCACUGUAAACAGAGAUCUUAUAUCUAGCAGUGUGUGUUAACAAGUUCCCUCUCCUCCAAGAGUCUGCUGGGUUUACUGGGUUGCUGAGUUAUACAGCUUUCUCCCUCUCAUGAUCCUUUUGUCAUAUAUAUGCGCAAUAUGCAGUGGAAGGGCAAGUAACCAAGCUUAUUUCAGUUUCAUUAGAAGUCAGAUCCUGAGUCCUUCUGGUUUUGAGUUAAAUCCGUUGCACUAGCUCAGCAUGUGUUUCUGGUUGCACUUAAGGGCGAGGCACCUCCGCUCUCGCUGGGAAGCUGAUUUCUGCCCGAGGCUGGGAGCGCUGCCUAAUUGCUCUGCAGAGGAGGCGUAUCCGUGCGCCCGCAGUAACCUGCUGCAGAUUCCCCCCAGAGCGUAGCUACAGCCACGCUGCAGUACAACCAACUUUUGCAGGCCAUCAGGAGAAACAGGAAACUCAGGAAAUGACCGGACAGACCCACCAAGAUUUUAAAGGUUAUUUACAACACCAGGUAGAAAUUCAAAAUGUGAAAGACCAUGUUGGCACGGCUUAAGCCAGAAAGCCUCAGGCUGGCACUUUUGUGUCACUGUUUGACAUGACUUUGUAUAAAUCUCAUGUAUAUAUUGCAAUGGUACAGUCCUAUGAAAGCCUCAGUUCACCUUUCUAAACAGCCCAGCAUAACACAAUAGAACCAUUUUAAUCUGCACUGAGAUUAAAUCUGAGCACUCUAAAUCAGACUUUUCCUUUCACAGAAUGUAAACAAUCAAAUCUCACUGUGAAGCCCUUUCCUGCUUUACUCAGCAAGAGGCUCUUAUAUUUCACCUCUCUUUUAUUUAGUGAAAAUGCUCUUAUUUAAAAGACACUUUAAAUAAAAGUGUUUCAUAUUCAACAUGAGGUAUCUGAAAAUCUGUUUUAUCCCGGCACUAUAGAGCUGGAGGAAAUCUGACCUGAGCAACACUCAGAAAAAGUUUUUAAAGAACCAUGGUCAGAUUAUCGCCCUCACUUCUGUCUAAAUCCAGAAUGUAUCUACUGAUUUCUGAAGAACUUGUCCAGAGUUACAUAAGAGAAAGCAAGAUUUUAAUGGAUAGUUUGCUUUUUCAAGACUCUUGUUUUUGUAGGUCUCACCCUUGCAGUGCUCUGCUCCAAGUAACUUGCUCUACCUCCUGCUACCCCCAAGUGCUUUUCCUCGCAUACCUUCUUGCUCAGUUGGAUAUUUAGGUACCUGUAAAUGCAGUAAAGCCUUCUCAUUGCCAGAUGAUCUCCCAGGCCUCUGUCUCCACCAGGCACAUCCUGGUGAGAGCCUCCAGUCUGCUCCUCUGGGAAGAAGCCUGAACCGAGGGUGGGUUCUCCUGCCCUUCUAGGGACUUGCCAGGUGAGACAAGCACACCCAGGAACCAAAAGGCAGCUUUAACCCUCUGAGGCCAAAUCAGGAGGUCAGCAAGAGGCCACUUGUGACAUGACAUCCCAUGUGCACUGCCUAGCCCUGUUCUUUGGCAAGCUUCUUUCUUUCUGCAAGGAAUGUUAGCUAAUGUCAGUCAUUUAAAAAAUGCAGUUCACUUUCUAAUGAAAUCACAGAGAGGGAGGGGAGACCAAGAAAAAGAGGAGAAACUGGCAGGGAAGCCCAUCAUUCUAGUCUGUAAUAAUCAAAUGGUGCUUGAAUAUAUACAUUAAGAAAGCGUCAUUUGCCCUCCCCCUCCUCAGAGACUAAUUUAAAAUAUUAAAUUAUUAAAUAAUAUCACAGUUUUUACAAAUUUCUAAUACUAUUGUGCUGCAAAUCCUGUCUGAUCCAACCCUCAAAUAUUUAUGUAAACUUAAAUAUGUCUGGAAAGAAGUCAAAAAAAUCCCCCAAAUAUGCCACACAAUCUCAUUCCCACAUAUCCCUCCCUCCUCAUUUAUAUUCAAACCUUUUCCAGCUAGUUCCCAGCUGGUAGGUGGUGGUUGAUGAGUGACAAGUGCAGAGCCCAUUUCUUUGAGUGCAUUGAUGGCCAAACCUUUUGCCAAACAAUUUAGUCUGGAAUUUUCAGUAGUUGCAAAAAAUAUUUUACAGCAACCUCUAUUUUUUCCCCCCUUUGGAAAUAGAUACAUGUAGUUUGGAAAUUUUUAUUAUUUAUUAUUAUUGACAGUGUUCAGAAAGAGGUAACUUUUAAAAAACAUUAAGUUGAAGUCUUUCUAGUCUAGGGUGCAGGGUAUACUUACACACCAUAUCCUACUUAGCUACAGGUUCCAGUAAAAGCAAGAUAGAUAACUGUGAAAUGCAGGCACUUAUAAAUCUUUCUGUACCAUUUGCAAAUUGCAUCUGUCUCUCUGUUUCUUUGCAGUGGUACGGUUGACAGAUGCUGCCAAUUCACUUCUCUGGAUCGGCAGAGCUGAGCAGUGCAAGGGUUGUGUGUAAAAUGUGACGCAUUGUCAACUGACUCCUGUACCUGAUGGUCCCUCCAGAGGUGAUGAAAGCCUUCAAUUUCAUUGGCUUCAGUGGUGGAGAAUGCUGCCAGGGCUGGAGAGGCCGGGGUGUGACAGGCAGCUCCCCACUGAGGGGGGAAUGACAAGCUGUGUCUGUAGUGUGCAAUGUCAAGAAAGCUGGGAACCCCUGUUCAUAAAGCACCAGAAUUAUUUGUGCCUGAGUACUCAGUCUCUUGAAGCAUAGGACCUUCUUGGGAAGACAGUUGUUACUCCCUUCAUAAAACCAAUCCAACACUUCUGCCUUAUAUGGGGGCCUUUUGAAGCAUAUUUUUUCCUCAUAUGCAGCUAUUUCAAACCCUUCAUUUUGAAAGAAGAUUGCAUCAGCUGCUGCUGUGCAAGGUCUGGAUGACCCUGCCUGCUGAGCAGCUCCAGGGCAGCCAUAAAUUGAAGAAGCACAAAAUUCCAAAGCCACAGAGGUGGCCACAUCCUCCUGCUCUGCGGUGGAAGGGGAAAAUGCAGAGCAGAAAACAGAGCCUCCUCCAUGAUGCUGUAAUGAUGAUGGAGUGCUAGCGGUAACCACAGAAGCAGAAUAGGAAAAUACCUUUUCAAGUGGAUUCUUUUUAACAGUCAGAUAUGCUGAUCUGCUCUUACAGGAAUAUUUCCAAGCAAGAAUGAAAUUAACUAAAUCUGAAAUCUGUAUGACUUUGGGACAUACUUAGGAGAAGGAAACUAAGUAUGUCACCAGCUGGUUGUGCAGCAGCAAGAAGAAAAGGUGGUGGUUUACCCUGUUUUAUGUUUCUAUUUAAAGGAUUGAAUGCACAACAUGAAGCCUAGUAGAACUACAAGCUGGAGUUCUGAUGCAACAACAACCUUUCCCCCCUGCUUUCUUUCUGUCUUCAAAAGCAAAGCUCUGACUAUAUUCAGUUGUUCUUCAUUCUCCCCCUGACAGUUUGUAUCAGUUCCUCGCCCAGCUCUCUGAGGGAUGGGACAUUCAUGUAGUCAGGGUGACCAUUUCAGUUCUAAGAGACUGCCCACACAAGCCUCUCACCACUCCUCUUCUGCUGUCUGGUGGCCUCAGGUGGGUGAGGGGGGAUCUCACCCGGGAGAGCAUCCUGAUCCCCCAGAAACAGACCUCAGAGAAAGAUGCUGUCUUCAAGCUGGUUCCAUAAUGGCAAGUCAGUCCUAACAAAGCAGAGAAUAUCUGUAUUUGGAUUACUUUCUCCUUUCUUACAAAUAUCCUAGUGAGUGUGAGUCACCUGAUUUCUUCUCCCACUUUUAACACAGUAUUUUGCAAAUAUUUUUCACAUUUGAAGCCUGUCUUUCCAUAUCUUGGUGAACUGUUAAAUGAGAAUUGUAAAGAUAUUAUAUUUUUUCCAAAGACUGCA